rnacentral:rRNA from 1 species
GCACCUACGGGAGGCAGCAGUGAGGAAUAUUGGUCAAUGGCCGGGAGGCUGAACCAGCCAAGUCGCGUGAGGGAAGACGGCCCUACGGGUUGUAAACCUCUUUUGUCAGGGAGCAAGAGGCGGGUCGAGACCUGCUGUGAGAGUACCUGAAGAAAAAACAUCGGCUAAAUCCGUGCCAGCAGCCGCGGUAAUACGGAGGAUGCGAGCGGUAUCCGGAUUUAUUGGGUUUAAAGGGUGCGCAGGCGGAGG